rnacentral:tRNA from 1 species
GCCUGGGUGGCUCAGUCGGUGAAGCGACCGACUCCGGCUCAGGUCCUGAUCCCACGGUUCGUGGGUUCGAGUCCCGCUUCGGGCU